UUUGACCUCAAAUCAGGUAGGACUACCCGCUGAACUUAAGCAUAUCAAUAAGCGGAGGAAAAGAAACCAACAGGGAUUGCCUCAGUAGCGGCGAGUGAAGCGGCAAAAGCUCAAAUUUGAAAUCUGGCGUCUUUGGCGUCCGAGUUGUAAUUUGAAGAAGGUAUCUUUGGGCCCGGCUCUUGUCUAUGUUCCUUGGAACAUGACGUCACAGAGGGCGAGAAAGGGGUGAAAAUCCCAUGCCAAGGGCCCGCGUAACGUUCCUUCGACGAGUCGAGUUGUGGGGGAAUGGCAA
rnacentral:rRNA from 1 species